CUCUUGACCUCGUGAUCCGCCUGCCUCAGCCUCCCGAAGUGCUGGGAUUACAGGUGUGAGCCACUGCGCCUGGCUAGUUCGAGUUUUUAAGGAAUUUAGCUCAGGCUGCUGCAUUGCCACACACACCCCUGCUCUUUCAUAGGCCUGCUGCUUGGCAAAGCUACGGACCGGUAAAGGUUAAUCAGGUAUAAUUAAGUCUGUCCGGGGUUCGACAAACAGCAUCUUGUCCAAGGUGAGCAUAGCCCAAGGCUAUGUGCCUGCCCGGAGACUCAGCUUGGGGUUCCGAGGCAUGUGGGCAGUAGUAGCAGGCCACUAGCCAGGCUGUCAUCCUAGGCCUGGGAAGGACAGAAGGUGGUUUUCCCUACCCAGCAUAGACAGCUGCCUGGGAGCCUGUCUGUCCUCUUGGCCAGACAGAGGACUACCUGCUCAAAAAGCAGUUCCUAGCUGUGUCCAUGGAAAGUGUACUUCCACCCUGUUUGAGACUUGUGCCUCUCUGGAUUCUGGUUUGUAAAUCUCCUUGGGGGGCGGCAGAAAGAGGGUUGUAUGUGUUUCCAUGGAAGCACACACAAUUUGCAUGGCCACUGCAGAGGCCAUGGCUACAAAGUCCCAGGCUCUCCCUGGCGGGGUUAGCCCCUAUUCUUGGCACUGGUGAGGGUGCCAAUGGCGCACAGCCAGUCGAAAAUUUUGGUGGCCCUGGCUCCAGGCAUAGGCCGUGGUUACCAACAGCCAGCAGGCCUCCAUCUUCCCACUCAACACAUAGGUCCCUGUGUGCCUUCCUCGAAAAAGAUUGUACACACAUGUGACAUCCAGCUGCAGCCAGCGUUGCAGGGUGGGCUCCAGCUCUGCAGGGGGCAGUGGUCCUGUCUUCAGCACCUCUAGUCUGGAGUACAGGUUGCAGUCCCAGGGGCCAGAGGAAGUACUGUUGGUCCUGGAGAACCUGACCUUCACUGCUGAGUGGGAACAGAGGGGCCGGUGAGGAGAUGGGCCUCUAGGAGUCCUCCCUAAACCCCCAAGAGUGUUUAGUCCAUCAGUCCCCUCCACCUAGUAGACUAAACCCUUUUGUCUGAUGCUCUGCCCUUAGAAUCAGUCUGCCACCUUCCUUAGCAGAAUUUUUGGUUUCAUUUUGUUGUUUUAGCAAUGUCCUAUGCUUGUAAAGGAAUUUUUUCUUUUUGUUCCAACCAGGCAUAGCAUUUGGAUAUUCCCUCUUACACUGCCUCAGCCCCGAGCCAGGAGCUGCAAUGGAGGCACUUGGAAGGGGUGUGUAAAGCUACAGGCCCAGGACUCAUCAAAGUCACUGGUGCAGAGAGUGUCCAGAACCUCCUUGGAGGAGCCUGCAUCCUGCAACUCGCAGUCCCUGCAGCUGGCAUGCAGCGCUGGGAAGAGGGGCAAGGCGAGGCACUGGCCAGUGUGGUUGGGGGUGGAGUGAGGAGGGGGUGGAGGGGGCUGAUCCCUCCACUUUUCCCCCUUUUUUACCCUUUUUGAGACGGAUGCCUGCUGUAGGUGACAUUGAGUACAGUUUACCUGAUCCCUGUAUGAUUUGAAUGAUUUGAAAGGGGUGGGGCCGAGCAAGGUGGAGACCAGCCAUGUGCAGACUCACAUGGGCGGUCCAGGCGGGAGCCGUUGUUGGCCACAGCAGUGAUACAGAGAUCAUGGCCCAAGGGGAAGCGUCCACAAUGCAGGAUGGCUGGCCAGGGGUAGCUGUAGCAGGCCAUGAUGGGCUCGCAGCUGGCCUGCAUGGCCUCGCACAGGCUGUAGGAGGGGUAGAUGACCCUUUGGGGGAAAGGGUCGGGGGCUGCACCGCCACAGGCUGAGCACCCAGAUCAGCUGGAACCUCUCCAUGUUCCUACCCCUGUCUCGUGGCCUGGAACUCUCUGGUUGCUGGGCAACGACACUGGUCGCCUAGCAACAGCCCCGUAGCCUGGCUUUCCCACUUGCCCCACAUCUCAGCCCUCAGCUCUGCCUCUUCACUCCCGCCCUCCCACUCAGGUGCCUUGCCAGCUUUCCAGUGCACCUCUCCCUCCGGCUCUGUGGACAUCCAUUGUCUGCAAGAGGUGGCCUGCACCUUGGGCCUUUACUCUCCAUCUUAAAGGUCUCUUUGGACAGACAUAGCUUCCACGCCUCAUUGGAGAGGAGGUUCCAGCCCGCCUGCCCCCAACCCCCAGCCUGAAGCGACUUGUCCACCUGCCCUAUCUUGACAUUCAAGAGCCCUUGACCACCAUUGAUGGUCUCCUGCCUAAGGGCACCUGGUUCCCUCUGUCUGGAACACUCUAACAAAACGAUCCAUUUUCCUCUCUGUGCCUGUCAGCGCCCAGCCCUGAUAGGUGCUCAGGUGCUCAGCAAGGAUUACUGAAGACCUGAGCCACCAGAGCAGGGCCCUGAGGGAGCCCUCCAGGGCCCUGCACCUGGAAGCCCCUGUCCUACCUGUCAAGGCAUACAGGGGUAAAUAGCAGAGGAAGAGGCGGGCAUCGGGGUGGCACUCCCAGGCAAGCAGGAGCAGCCAGCUGACCAACUGCUGGAUGGCCUCAGCUGCUGUGAUGUGGUCCAGCAAGUUGGGCAGACGCAUCUGUGUAGCCAAUGUCGUGGCAUAGGGCCAUGGCUUGGGGAAUGGGCAUGCACCUCAUGCAGCCCCAGGGAGCCCCUGACCCUGCUGUCAUCCCACAGCAUCACCAGUGUCACCAGCAGCCACAGCCCCUGCUCCAUCACUGCCUUCUGUGCCUUGGCCUUAAUGAACUGAGGUUGAGGGUUUUAUAGGGCUGUUCCUGCACCCAGGGAGCCAACAGAGGAGAUCCUGCAGGGGUUUGCACAGCUCCGAGGUGCCCGGACCCACCUGGUGAGGCCCCAACAUGCUGACUGGGCUGUUUGUUUUUGAUUAGCACACAGCAGGGGACUGUAGAGGCUGGAGGCACCUCCACUGGGCUUGCAGAUUACUGGCACCUAAUAAACUGAAGAAACCUGG